rnacentral:rRNA from 1 species
GUGAGGAAUAUUGGUCAAUGGGCGAGAGCCUGAACCAGCCAAGUCGCGUGAAGGAAGAAGGAUCUAUGGUUCGUAAACUUCUUUUGCAGGGGAAUAAAGUGCGGGACGUGUCCUGUUUUGUAUGUACCCUGAGAAUAAGGAUCGGCUAACUCCGUGCCAGCAGCCGCGGUAAUACGGAGGAUCCGAGCGUUAUCCGGAUUUAUUGGGUUUAAAGGGUGCGUAGGUGGUUUGAUAAGUCAGCGGUGAAAGUUUGCAGCUUAACUGUAAAAAUGCCGUUGAAACUGUCGGACUUGAGUGUAAAUGAGGUAGGCGGAAUGCGUGGUGUAGCGGUGAAAUGCAUAGAUAUCACGCAGAACUCCGAUUGCGAAGGCAGCUUACUAAGCUACAACUGACACUGAAGCACGAAAGCGUGGGGAUCAAACAGGAUUAGAUACCCCGUAGUCC